ACGUGAUCUGAGUUCAGACCGGAGUAAUCCAGGUCAGUUUCUAUCUAUAGCUAGGCUUAUUCCAGUACGAAAGGACAGAAAAAGCAUGGCCCAUACUGCAGGCAAGCCAUCAUUACUAAUUUUUGCCAACAACUUAAUUUAUAGUCAACCAACAACCUCCCUCAAAAAAAGAGA
rnacentral:rRNA from 1 species